UGUUCGAUUAAUAUGUGCGUGUUUUAAUUUUUUUUAUCCACUGUUGUUCUUCGUGGCUUGUUGAUUCGUAAGGUACGUCGUUUUUGACGUUGUAAUCGUUUUUCACCACGAGAAAAUCUGUGGUUAGAUUAGAAUUUCAAAUUGUAUUUGUUUUUCGGUUAUUAUGAAAAACGAGACGAAGAACAAGGCAACACAAAGAACAAUGCCCGUUCAGUUUUUUUGUUGGUCGCCCGGCACCAGGACCACCGUCCGGCGAAGCACUGCCGCGUCCGGGUGAAGGACAACUGCGUCCAGUGUGACAGAGCAAGCCUCGGAUUUGUUUCCAAGCAUGUUAAGGCAAUGCGCUGUCGGGCUAUGACUGCGGUCUCUCUUGGCGUCGGUGGUUGGGGGCCUUCCGGCGUUCCUUACCGGCUCAACUGCCAGAGGUCUAUGUUGUGUGCAGACGUGCAUCGUGUUGUGUCAUUUUCACUCGGCGGAAGUUUCAGCGGCGUGCGGACGGUGGGUAUGGCGACAGAGGCAGCGCCGCGCUAAGAGAUGUCAGAAGAACAGAGUAGCAUUGCACUGCAAAUUCCGGGACCGGCGCACAGUUUGGUGCGGCCGUGUUUUUUGUGUGGCGGCGCUGCGAUGCUGGUGUCGAGCAGCGGCUCGCCGGAGUAGGUGGCCUGGCGGAAAGGGUGUACAGGGCGGGAGGUGGACGGCGAGCUCAGGCUGCGGCGGCGCCGCUAAGGGCGGCGCAAACCCUAGGCGGUGGAAGAGCUGCAGAAACCCUAGCCGCAAAGCCUAAUUUUGACCGAGUCAGCGCGGGUCAACGGAUCUGGGUCUGGGCAUCUGAGCCGGAUUUGGGCUGUUGGAUGCGGGCCUGGGCGCUGGCAGCCUGUCUGGGCCGAGUUUUUGGGCCUGUGCGCGCCCUUCGAGCUCAAAAGGCUGUGUUUGGGUGGUUUGGGCUCUUUUUGGCGAGAUUUGGGGCCCAAUUUCGAGUUUUUAGACUUUUUAACCUAGUUUUAUUUAUUUAUUUUCUAUUUUUUUAAUUUAAUAGAUUAGAAAGGAAUUCCACGAAUGAGCCAUGAAGAAUUAUUUUUUAUUUAUUUUGUUUAUUCUUCGCAUGUCGUGGAUGUAUUAAUUAUGCAAGAGCAUGUAGUGGAUGUUUAAGUGCUUUGGAUAUCGUAGUUAUAGCAUAUCCUUUUUGUUGAUAAUUAUUUAUUAACUGCGCUUAGACGAACAUGGAAUUAAGCAAAAUUGGAGAUGGAACUUGUGGAUGGAAGAAGUGGACGUUGAUCGAAUUUUGCAUGGAAUUAAUCGAGCAUUGCAUGGAUAUUGAUGAAGUUUGGAUGACUCUUUCCAUCCGGAAGAAGAUUUGGUCUUGGAAUAUUUGCUUGGAUUUUAAUUAAACUUUAAACUUUUGAUUAAUUAUGUAAUUGGGCCUUUUUGUUCGAAUUUUGACAGCCCAAUUUGAAAUUGCGGCUAUUUGUGAAUUGUGGGAGUUAAUUCCCUUAGUUUAAUUCUAAUGACCUAGCUGCCACUUUUAAUAUAAGAUAGGAUUAGUUGACUUUUGGCAACAACUUUUGAUUCCUUAAUUUUUUGCGGUUCACGUUUUUAUUGCUAGUUUGAUU